GAUGAACGCUAGCGGCAGGCUUAAUACAUGCAAGUCGAACGGCAAGGACUUUCGGGUCCCUAGAGUGGCGCACGGGUGAGUAACACGUACACAACAUACUCUAUAUUGGAGGAUAGCCUUGGGAAACUGGGGGUAAUAUUCCAUAGUAUUUAUUGGAGGCAUCUCUGAUAAAUUAAAGAGCAAUCGAUAUAGGAUUGGUGUGCGUCCCAUUAGCUAGUUGGUAGGGUAACGGCCUACCAAGGCUACGAUGGGUAGCUGGCGUGAGAGCGCGACCAGCCACACUGGAACUGAGACACGGUCCAGACUCCUACGGGAGGCAGCAGUAGGGAAUAUUGGACAAUGGAGGCAACUCUGACCCAGCCAUGCCGCGUGGAGGAUGACUGCCCUCUGGGUUGUAAACUCCUUUUGUACAGGAAGAAACCUCCUCAUUUAUGAGUGAGCUGACGGUACUGUAAGAAUAAGCACCGGCUAACUCCGUGCCAGCAGCCG
rnacentral:rRNA from 1 species